GGAUUGGCGCAUCGGUCGUGCCUUACGGGGUAUGAACUGGUGCAGUCAAUUUCUCACCUUCUGGAGAACCGCGAUGUCCUUAAUUGGGUGCCGCGGGGAACCAGGACCUUUACUUUGAAAAAAUUAGAGUGUUUAAAGCAGGCAUUUUUGCUUAAAUACAUUAGCAUGGAAUAAUAAAAUAGGACGGCAUGGUUCUAUUUUGUUGGUUUCUAGAAUCGACGUA
rnacentral:rRNA from 1 species